CUUUGAGAAUGAAAUGCCAACUUAACUACAUGCCAACUUAAAUACAUCCAAUCAGCUCGCAGUAGAAAAAAAACAAGCCAUAAACACUGCUUUCUGAUAUUGGAACUGUCACAAUAUGAAAAAAAAAAACGGUCACAGCUUCCAUUUCAUGCAGACUGUAACAAUUUAGUUAUUGUGAGACUCAAGUCUCCUCUAUUUUUGUAUAUACUUUUAAUGAAAUCGAAACCCUUAUGUCUUUAAAGGAUUUAAUGAUGCCAAACAAUCAAAAACUGUGGGCUAAUAAAAAUUAUUCGUAAGAGCCUGUAUUACUAGGUUCAGCAGUUAUCUUGGAAUGUCGUGACUGACCAAUCAGAAUCGAUUAGUCCAGAGAGCUGUACAAUGAUGUAUUACCAUGCAUGCAUAAUGAAUGCCUUAUAAUAUGUUGUAGCACCUGGUAAAUAGUCAUGCUGUAACUACAGUAAAACAAGUAUUCAUAGGAGUUUUAAAGCAUGUAUAACUUUAUAUUGUAUAUGUAAGUCUGAUGCCAAUAGAUUUAAUUCCUGACACAACUUGCAAUGUCAAUGAACUUAUUGAUGUUACUGUGAGUGUGAGGGGGAGGGUUUUUGGUGGGGAUAGGUGUGCACAUUAAAAGCAUUGCAUGUAGCUCAGCUUCGAUGAAUUCAGAGUAUAUCCAGAGUUUAGGUGGAAAAUGUUCUGAUCAGUAUUAUUACUUGUAAUAGUAAAUUACGACACGGCACAGUGUAACAUUGUUUAUAAGGCAUUAUUCAAGCAUUAUAAUACAUUUAGAAUAUAAAGUGUGUGAUCCCUAAUCAAUUCUCUGUUCCUUAUGGAAAAGUGCUAAGAGUUGAUGUUUUGCCCUUGGUGUACUUUUAAGAUCUAGAUAUUGUCUCCAUGAGCAAAUAUAACUGUCAGUGCUUCAGAUCUUAUCAGUGAGGACAAUUUUGUUUGGGAGAUCAUUUAGUUUAAAGAACAAGUUUAAGGUAAAGUAUGGUAAUGGUAAAAGUUGAUGCUACACUGUAAAAAAUGAAUCUUGAGGCUUGUAAAUUUCAUUAAAAAAAUUUAUGUGGUCAUUAAAAAUAAUGUGCAUAUUUUCUUUAAAAAAAAAUAUAUUCUGGAUUAAUUAUAAAGUAUUAAGAAGAUUUUGCUAAUACAAUCAAGAGAUAAAUUUCACUUAUUUUUUUAAGUAAACCAGUGCAAUUAUUAGGCUUACUUUUAGAAACCAGUUAAGCUAAUAAAAUUGAGGAAAGAUGGAUUCACGUUUUUUUUAAAGAAAAUUCACUCAAUUAUGCUGAUUUGAUUGAGAUGUUUGCAUUUGAAUCUCAACAACGGCAGUGACCAGACGACAUUUUGAAGAAGCAGAUCAAUUAUAAGCAUGCUAAGCUAAGAGGUAAGCCUUAACAGUUUAUCAUUUUUAUUGUCUUAAAUAAGCUCUUUCAUGAAAGACACUGCUGUUUAAGCUUGUUCGGGAGCCUAGUUUCUGCCAUAUGGGUACACGGGUAUUUUUAAACACCCAUUCCUAUUUGAAAUUGAUUUGCUUUAAUGCUCAUUCUGAAUUGUAUAUUUAAACUGAACAAAUUAUGUGCAUUGUAAUAUUUAACAGCUCUGAUCAGGCAACAUUUAAGCGGGUGGACGAACAACAGUGAUCUUGUUGGUUAGCCUAAGCUAAGCUAUGUUAGCUAUAGCCAUUCAAUGGGGUUUAUGCACAGCUAGUGUUUUUCCAUUUCAUAAGGUUCCUUUUACAGCAUUGAUGAUGUAAUGUUAUUAACUAUGUUUAUAUAUAAUACUGUACAAAAAUGCUUAUAUUUGUUUGAUUAAUUUUUCAGAUUAAUGAAGAAAAUGUUCAUAGUAUUUUCCCACAAAAGAGGAGCAGUUUACUCAGGCAGAUUCUGAUAAAGAGAAUGGGUGCCAAACAGCAGACCUCACAUUAAAUCAGGGAUAAGACGAGAGAAGCUGUCCUCUGUUGCUGGUCUAUUUGUAUGAAAAAGUGGAGCAGCUCAUUCAGUAGUGCAAUUGUGGGAAUGCACAGAGGAUUGCUGUCUGCCAGAGAGAUGACCUACAAUAAGGAUUUCUGCAUUGUCUUGGAGGAUGAGCGAGUCAUGGCUGGCUUGGAAAAUCUAGAAUUGCUGAACUGGAUUUAUACAAGUAUUCCCCAAAUUAAAAUCACCCACAAACAAACUUUUAAGAAAUUUUAUUAACAAACUUUUGUUUCUGACACAAAUUCACUGUUACAAACUUUUGGGAAAUUGUUACUGCAUCGACUGAUUGAUUUAUUGUGUUGCUAAUAAUUUGAGAUACAGCUUUUAUACUGGUCUUAUAUGUUGUUCAAUACACAAAUUCUGUCAGAGUUUGUCUAAAAUGUGAUUAUUCCUACAAAAGAAAGCUGACAGAAUUUUUUUUUCCA